GGCUUGAUGGUCUAGUAGUAUGAUUCCUUGUUAGGGAGCGCUGUAACGUUCUGCUAUUUCGAGGAGGUCCUGGGUUCAAUUCCCAGUCAAGCCC
rnacentral:tRNA from 1 species